AAUCAACGCUGGCGGCGUGCCUAACACAUGCAAGUCGAACGAGAAAGUGGAGCAAUCCAUGAGUAAAGUGGCGCACGGGUGAGUAACACGUGACUAACCUACCCUUGAGUGGGGGAUAACCUAGGGAAACCUGGGCUAAUACCGCAUAAUAUCGAGAGAUCAAAGGAGCAAUUCGCUUAAGGAGGGGGUCGCGGCUGAUUAGCUAGUUGGUGGGGUAAUGGCCCACCAAGGCUGNGAUCAGUAUCCGGCCUGAGAGGGCGCACGGACACACUGGAACUGAAACACGGUCCAGACUCCUACGGGAGGCAGCAGUGGGGAAUUUUGCGCAAUGGGGGAAACCCUGACGCAGCAACGCCGCGUGGAGGAUGAAGUCCCUUGGGACGUAAACUCCUUUCGAUCGGGACGAUAAUGACGGUACCGAGAGAAGAAGCCCCGCUAACUUCGUGCCAGCAGCCGCCGUAAG
rnacentral:rRNA from 1 species